rnacentral:rRNA from 1 species
UACGUAGGGAGCAAGCGUUGUCCGGAAUCAUUGGGCGUAAAGCGCGUGUAGGCGGCUUGGUAAGUCUGCUCUGAAAGCCCGGGGCUCAACCCCGGGAGGCGGGUGGAUACUGCUGAGCUCGAGUCCGGAAGAGGCGAGUGGAAUUCCUGGUGUAGCGGUGAAAUGCGCAGAGUAUCAGGAGGAACACCGAUGGCGAAGGCAGCUCGCUGGGACGGUACUGGACGCUGAGACGCGAAAGCGUGGGGAGCAAACAGG